UACAGAGGGGGCGAGCGUUGUUCGGAAUUACUGGGCGUAAAGGGCGCGUAGGCGGCCCGCUAAGUCGAACGUGAAAUCCCCAGGCUCAACCUGGGAACUGCGUCCGAUACUGGCAGGCUUGAAUCCGGGAGAGGGAUGUGGAAUUCCAGGUGUAGCGGUGAAAUGCGUAGAUAUCUGGAGGAACAUCAGUGGCGAAGGCGACUUCCUGGACCAAUACUGACGCUCAGGUGCGAAAGCGUGGGGAGCAAACAGG
rnacentral:rRNA from 1 species